rnacentral:rRNA from 1 species
GACGAACGCUGGCGGCGUGCUUAACACAUGCCAGUCGAACGGAAAGACCCUGCUUUUGUGGGUUUCUCGAGUGGCGAACGGGUGAGUAACACGUGAGUAACCUGCCCCUGUCUUUGGGAUAACUUUAGGAAACUGGGGCUCAUACCGGAUAGGAGCUCCUGCUCCACGUUGGGCGUUGGAAAGUUUCGGCGGUUGGGGAUGUACUGGAGGCUUAUCCGCUUGUUGGGGUGGUAGUGGCUUACCAAGGCUUUGACGGCUAGCCGGCCUGAGAGGGGGAACGGCCACAAUGGGACUGAGAGAGGCAGCAGACGGGAAUGUGCGGCAGUAGUGGGGAGUAUGGCGCAACGGGCGGAAGCGUGAGGCAGCAACGUCGCGUGCGUGAAAACGGGCUACGGGGGGUAAACAGAUUUCGCAUGUGAUGAAGCGUUAGUGACGGUAACGGGUAAAGAAGCACCGGCUAACUACGUG